rnacentral:lncRNA from 1 species
AUGUUGCACAUACCUUUAACCCAGCCAGCAGCCAGGUUACAUUUUACUAUAUUCACCACCAAUUCCCUUUUCUGUUUCUCGCCAGACUAUACAAGCCCUGAAAGCAAGAACGGGGUUCACGGCAUCUUGAUACCCCCAUAUGGGGACGUUUUGGCGAUUUUAUUUAUAAGAAAGGGAUUUUACACCGGAGAGGCUUUUAAAUCUACUAACAGACUGGACCAGCUUUCUCAUCCCCACUGGCUGAUUAAUGAUUCCUCCAUGCCAACCCGGUUCUCAGAGACACCAAGUCCAGUGCCCUUGAUCCUUAAGAAGUGGCCUCCAGUGCUUAGAAUUCCAAGCAUUUGGUCCUUUGGAGAUGAGAAACCAUGGGAAGGCAGGGGCUUAUUCACCCCUGUAUCCAAAAAGUUGAGGAUGGUGCCAGGGACACAGAUGUUACCAGGGACUCCAAAAAUACUGAAUGAAAGGACAGUGGAGGUGCUUUCCUGUGGGAUCUUCCAACCUCUUCCCGCCUUCAGAGGUCAGCGAAGCAGGGUAUCACCGAAGUCCCACCUGAUGUCACUGGAACUAGUGCUCCAUGUCUUCACCAGGCCCAUGCCAGCCGUGAGGGGCAGAACCAGGUUUUCUGACACCAAACCCCAGGUUUCUUCCUGUGCUGACAUGGAUCCUUUUUCUGACUUGGCCAGCAGCCUCUCAUAGAUGGGGGACUGAUUAAAUAGUUCUGGUGAUGGGUGGGGUGAUGGUUGCACAACAAUAUGAAUGGAUUUAAUGCCACUGAACUGUACACCUGAAAAUGGUUAAAAUGCUACAUUUUAUGUUAUGAAUAUUUCACCGCAAUAAAAAAAUUCAUAACAUUUUAUGUUAUGAAUAUUUCACCGCAAUAAAUUUGCAGAAACAAAUAUGGGUCUGUCUUUCUCACAUGUCAAGAAGUCAAGAAAUCUGGGGUGGGUAGAUACAGUGGUUAGUUCAGCUGCUCCAUGAUGCCAUGAGGGUCUGGAGUCUUGCUUUUUGCUUUUUUCUUUUCUUUCUUUUUUUUUUUUUUUGAGACAAAGUCUCGCUCUGUUGCCCAAGCUGGAGUGCAAUUGUGUGAUCUCUGCUUACUGCAACCUUUGCCUCCUGGGUUCGAGCGAUUCUCCUGCCUCAGCCUCUCGAGUAGCUGGGAUUAUAGGAGUGUACCACCAUGCCCAGCUAAUUUUUGUAUUUUUUUUGGUAGAGACGGGGCUUCACCAUGUUGACCAGGCUGGUGUCAAACUCCUGACCUCAGGUGAUCUGCCCACCUCGGCCUCCCAAAAUGCUGGGAUUACAGGCAUGAGC